UACGAAGGGGGCGAGCGUUGUUCGGAUUUACUGGGCGUAAAGGGCGCGUAGGCGGCCCGUUUUGUCAGGCGUGAAAGUCCUGGGCUCAACCUGGGAACUGCGCUUGGGACGGAUGGGCUUGAGAUCGGGAGAGGAGAGUGGAAUUCCCAGUGUAGAGGUGAAAUUCGUAGAUAUUCGCAAGAACACCAGUGGCGAAGGCGGCUCACUGGCCCGAUACUGACGCUGAGGCACGAAAGCGUGGGGAGCAAACAGG
rnacentral:rRNA from 1 species